rnacentral:rRNA from 1 species
CAAUCAAACCGGGAGAUAGCUGGUUCUCCCCGAAAGCUAUUUAGGUAGCGCCUCGUGAAUUCAUCUCCGGGGGUAGAGCACUGUUUCGGCUAGGGGGCCAUCCCGGCUUACCAACCCGAUGCAAACUGCGAAUACCGGAGAAUGUUAUCACGGGAGACACACGGCGGGUGCUAACGUCCGUCGUGAAGAGGGAAACAACCCAGACCGCCAGCUAAGGUCCCAAAGUCAUGGUUAAGUGGGAAACGAUGUGGGAAGGCCCAGACAGCCAGGAUGUUGGCUUAGAAGCAGCCAUCAUUUAAAGAAAGCGUAAUAGCUCACUGGUCGAGUCGGCCUGCGCGGAAGAUGUAACGGGGCUAAACCAUGCACCGAAGCUGCGGCAGCGAACGUAUCACCCAAGACAACUUUACGGAGUUGACGAUUGACGGAGCGAAGCGACGUCAAAGCGUUCAUUAAAGUCGAGUUGGCUUAGGGAUACGUUCGUUGGGUAGGGGAGCGUUCUGUAAGCCUGUGAAGGUGUGUCGUGAGGCAUGCUGGAGGUAUCAGAAGUGCGAAUGCUGACAUAAGUAACGAUAAAGCGGGUGAAAAGCCCGCUCGCCGGAAGACCAAGGGUUCCUGUCCAACGUUAAUCGGGGCAGGGUGAGUCGACCCCUAAGGCGAGGCCGAAAGGCGUAGUCGAUGGGAAACGGGUUAAUAUUCCCGUACUUGGUGUUACUGCGAAGGGGGGACGGAGAAGGCUAUGUUGGCCGGGCGACGGUUGUCCCGGUUUAAGCGUGUAGGUGUGUGUUCCAGGUAAAUCCGGUUCACUUUAACACUGAGGCGUGACGACGAGGCACUACGGUGCUGAAGCAACAAAUGCCCUGCUUCCAGGAAAAGCCUCUAAGCAUCAGGUAACAUCAAAUCGUACCCCAAACCGACACAGGUGGUCAGGUAGAGAAUACCAAGGCGCUUGAGAGAACUCGGGUGAAGGAACUAGGCAAAAUGGUGCCGUAACUUCGGGAGAAGGCACGCUGACACGUAGGUGAAGUGAUUUACUCAUGGAGCUGAAGUCAGUCGAAGAUACCAGCUGGCUGCAACUGUUUAUUAAAAACACAGCACUGUGCAAACACGAAAGUGGACGUAUACGGUGUGACGCCUGCCCGGUGCCGGAAGGUUAAUUGAUGGGGUCAGCGCAAGCGAAGCUCCUGAUCGAAGCCCCGGUAAACGGCGGCCGUAACUAUAACGGUCCUAAGGUAGCGAAAUUCCUUGUCGGGUAAGUUCCGACCUGCACGAAUGGCGUAAUGAUGGCCAGGCUGUCUCCACCCGAGACUCAGUGAAAUUGAACUCGCUGUGAAGAUGCAGUGUACCCGCGGCAAGACGGAAAGACCCCGUGAACCUUUACUAUAGCUUGACACUGAACAUUGAGCCUUGAUGUGUAGGAUAGGUGGGAGGCUUUGAAGUGUGGACGCCAGUCUGCAUGGAGCCGACCUUGAAAUACCACCCUUUAAUGUUUGAUGUUCUAACGUGGACCCGUAAUCCGGGUUGCGGACAGUGUCUGGUGGGUAGUUUGACUGGGGCGGUCUCCUCCUAAAGAGUAACGGAGGAGCACGAAGGUUGGCUAAUCCUGGUCGGACAUCAGGAGGUUAGUGCAAUGGCAUAAGCCAGCUUGACUGCGAGCGUGACGGCGCGAGCAGGUGCGAAAGCAGGUCAUAGUGAUCCGGUGGUUCUGAAUGGAAGGGCCAUCGCUCAACGGAUAAAAGGUACUCCGGGGAUAACAGGCUGAUACCGCCCAAGAGUUCAUAUCGACGGCGGUGUUUGGCACCUCGAUGUCGGCUCAUCACAUCCUGGGGCUGAAGUAGGUCCCAAGGGUAUGGCUGUUCGCCAUUUAAAGUGGUACGCGAGCUGGGUUUAGAACGUCGUGAGACAGUUCGGUCCCUAUCUGCCGUGGGCGCUGGAGAACUGAGGGGGGCUGCUCCUAGUACGAGAGGACCGGAGUGGACGCAUCACUGGUGUUCGGGUUGUCAUGCCAAUGGCACUGCCCGGUAGCUAAAUGCGGAAGAGAUAAGUGCUGAAAGCAUCUAAGCACGAAACUUGCCCCGAGAUGAGUUCUCCCUGAGACUUAGAGUCUCCUGAAGGAACGUUGAAGACGACGACGUUGAUAGGCCGGGUGUGUAAGCGCAGCGAUGCGUUGAGCUAACCGGUACUAAUGAACCGUGAGGCUUAACCUU